rnacentral:rRNA from 1 species
UCGGCAACGGAUAUCUCGGCUCUUACAUCGAUGAAGAACGUAGCAAAAUGCGAUACUUGGUGUGAAUUGCAGAAUCCCGUGAACCAUCGAGUCUUUGAACGCAAGUUGCGCCCGAAUCCUUUUGGUCGAGGGCACGUCUGCCUGGGUGUCACGUACACGCGCCUCCCGCAAACCUUCCCCCUUGGGGACGAAGGGUCAUGCGGGAGCAGAUGUUGGUAUCCCGUGCCC